UUGUGAGUUGCCAACUCAUCUAUAAUGGUCUCGUCAAUGUAACAUUAACGUGCCAAGUGAACAAAAAUUUAACACUAUAGCAAUCCUUUGUAUUGUUCACCAAGUAUGUUAUUUAUCCAAUUUCGAUACAAUAAAAGAUCACUUAAUCGCAACUGCUUGAGCAACCAAACACAUAUACAAUUACACAUAUAAUACAUACUUCAAAAAAGGAAAAAGGUUUAUAUCAGAAUUUUUUUUCUCCAAACUUGACUAGGAUAGGAUAUCACUUGUGAAAAACGGACAAUAUCUUGGUGUGGUCGUUCCUUCGAUUGGUCACUCAUUCAAAAAGAAAUGAUGAAAGAGUGGAAAUCAUCGAAAUUAAGAAGAAGAAAAAUUGCAAGUUAGCUCUUGAAAGAUGAGUGCCGUAGAAAAAGAAGUGUGAAACGUUAAUUGAUACACAUGAAUCGGACGUGACCCAUAGUUUGCAUUUUCUGCCGGGAGCUUCGCAUAUUGGCCAAAGUUCUCUCUCUCUUUAAUUUGACUAGUUCUUUGGACUUGAGAAUGGACGUCACCGAUAGUUGACAGAUUAAGGGUGCAUACAAUUUACAUGAUUACUUUACAAGUCAUAUGAAAUUAAUGAACAGUUGGGUGGAUGCUUUGGAAGUGGUUGUUGGUUGGUUCCCCUUUUGUUUUUAGUUUAUGAAUCAGAGACAAUCUUGGUUACGUAUUCAUACUACGCAUGACAUGUAAGUUCAACGGUUGUUAGUAUUUUGUUUUCACACAUGAUAUCAAGUAUAAUAGCCUAUGGUGCACCGAUAUGGAUAUGCUCGUAUUCUAUACUCCGAUACACUGAUAUAGGUACAAUACGUUUUUGAUAUGGAUAUAGGAGUAUCGUGCACCUUUCCGAAAUUAUUUGAAAAUAUGUUUGUUUGUUUUCAAAAUUAUAAAAUCCUAUGGAGUUAAAGAUUUAGGAAGUGGCUUUCACAAUGUUUUAAUUUGUUUUUGUGUUGUUUUUAUUUAUUUUAUUUUUUAUGAUUUGAGCAAUUCUAUAGAGACUUGUAUUUUGUGCUUAGUUUUAUGUUUUGAACUUAUGGUGGUGAUUAUAACAUGAUAGAUGCAAUAUUAAUUUUUGCUAUUUAUAUUAAUUUUUAAAUAUAUAUUACUUUAAUCGCUGAAUAGGUGCCGUACUCGUAUUCUAGUUUUUGGAGUUUUGCUAUAUCGACAAAUUGUAUCGUAUUGUAUCGGCGUACCCGUACCCGUGCAACAUAGAUAAUAGUUAAGAUGACUAUAAAAAUAAAAAAUAAGCAGUAUUGGCGGGAUUCGAACACUGGACUUUGAGUGCAUGUAUAACUACUCUUAAUUAUUUGAGUUAUAAGCUCCUUGCAAUAGCUAAGGUGAUAUAUGACGGUGAACUGAGCCAAAUUGAAAGGAAAAAAUUGUGUUGACUAAAAAAGCUGGUAUCAACUCAAAAUAGAAUUGAAUCGGCCCGGAUGGAUCCAUUUCAUGGUUUUAACCAUUGUAAAGUUGAUAGGAACAAAAUUGGACCGAUUGUAUUAAUUUGGACAAUUUUAGUAAUGUAGUCUUGUUAGGUAGAAAUCAAGUCCUACAAAUGUAAAAUUGUUAAUAAAAAUAUACAACAUGGUUACGCACAUGAAAUAGUCGCUUGAUGGGUCGGUAAUCAACAACUCCAGACCGAUGGGCCUUCAAGCUACAGAUUAUUGGGUCAUGGCUAUCUGAGAGGGAAGAAGCUUAAUUUGCACCAAGUGGUGAUCUAUGGGCACCCUAGAAGGCCUCCCUCUCCUUC
rnacentral:lncRNA from 1 species